rnacentral:tRNA from 1 species
CGGAAUGUAGCGCAGCCUGGUAGCGCAUCGUUUUCGGGAAACGGAGGUCGCAGGUUCGAAUCCUGUCAUUCCGACCA